UACGUAGGGUGCGAGCGUUAAUCGGAAUUACUGGGCGUAAAGCGUGCGCAGGCGGUUCGUUAUGUCCGAUGUGAAAGCCCCGAGCUUAACUUGGGAAUGGCAUUGGAAACUGGCGGGCUGGAGUGCGGCAGAGGGGGGUGGAAUUCCACGUGUAGCAGUGAAAUGCGUAGAUAUCAGGAGGAACACCGAUGGCGAAGGCAGGUCUCUGGGCUGACACUGACGCUCAUGCACGAAAGCGUGGGGAGCAAACAGG
rnacentral:rRNA from 1 species